rnacentral:rRNA from 1 species
GUGUCCUACGGGACGCAGCAGUAGGGAAUCUUCCACAAUGGGCGAAAGCCUGAUGGAGCAACGCCGCAUGGGUGAAGAAGGUCUUCGGAUCGUAAAACCCUGUUGUUAGAAAAGAAAGUGCGUGAGAGUAACUGUUCACGUUUCGACGGUAUCUAACCAGAAAGCCACGGCUAACUACGUGCCAGCAGCCGCGGUAAUACGUAGGUGGCAAGCGUUAUCCGGAUUUAUUGGGCGUAAAGAGAACGCAGGCGGUCUUUUAUGUCUGUUGUGAAAGCCUUCGGCUUAACCGGAGUAGUGCAUUGGAA